GAUGAACGCUGGCGGCGUGCCUAAUACAUGCAAGUCGAGCGAACGGACGAGAAGCUUGCUUCUCUGAUGUUAGCGGCGGACGGGUGAGUAACACGUGGAUAACCUACCUAUAAGACUGGGAUAACUUCGGGAAACCGUAGCUAAUACCGGAUAAUAUUUUGAACCGCAUGGUUCAAAAGUGAAAGACGGUCUUGCUGUCACUUAUAGAUGGAUCCGCGCUGCAUUAGCUAGUUGGUAAGGUAACGGCUUACCAAGGCAACGAUGCAUAGCCGACCUGAGAGGGUGAUCGGCCAUACUGGAACUGAGACACGGUCCAGUCUCCUACGGGAGGCAGCAGUAGGGAAUCUUCCGCAAUGGGCGAAAGCCUGACGGAGCAACGCCGCGUGAGUGAUGAAGGUCUUCGGAUCGUAAAACUCUGUUAUUAGGGAAGAACAUAUGUGUAAGUAACUGUGCACAUCUUGACGGUACCUAAUCAGAAAGCCACGGCUAACUACGUG
rnacentral:rRNA from 1 species